rnacentral:rRNA from 1 species
UACAGAGGUCCCAAGCGUUGUUCGGAUUCAUUGGGCGUAAAGGGCUCGUAGGCGGCCAACUAAGUCAGACGUGAAAUCCCUCAGCUUAACUGGGGAACUGCGUCUGAUACUGGAUGGCUUGGAUUCGGGAGAGGAAUGCGGAAUUCCAGGUGUAGCGGUGAAAUGCGUAGAUAUCUGGAGGAAUACCGGUGGCGAAGGCGGCCCCCUGGACAAAGACUGACGCUCAGGUGCGAAAGCGUGGGGAGCAAACAGG